rnacentral:rRNA from 1 species
GUCUUUUUGAUUAUAAUUUAAAGUCUAACCUGCCCACUGAAAGUUUUGAAGGGCCGCGGUAUUUUGACUGUGCAAAGGUAGCAUAAUCAUUAGUCUUUUAAUUGGAGGCUUGUAUGAAUGGUUGGAUGAGGUAUUAACUGUCUCGAUUUAAUAAAUAAUAGAAUUUUAUUUUUAAGUUAAAAAGCUUAAAUAAAGUUAAAAGACGAGAAGACCCUAUAGAUCUUUAUAAUUAAUUUUAUAAUAAUUUUUUAGAUAGAAUUUAUUUUUAUAAGAUUAAUUAUUUUAUUGGGGUGAUAAAAAAAUUUAAAAAACUUUUUUUUUAUAUAAACAAUGAUAUUUGAAUAAUUGAUCCAUUUUUUGUGAUUAUAAGAUUAAGUUACCUUAGGGAUAACAGCGUAAUUUUUUUGGAGAGUUCUUAUCGAUAAAAAAGAUUGCGACCUCGAUGUUGAAUUAAAGGUUAAUUUUAGGUGUAGAAGUUUAAAAUUUUGGUCUGUUCGACCAUUAAAUC